UCUAAUAUGGCAGAUUAGUGCGAUGAAUUUAAGCUUCAUAAAUGGGUGUUAAAAACCCUUUUAGAA
rnacentral:tRNA from 1 species